AACAUAAAGAUCUAAUGCACCAAGGCAGCCCCCCACUCCCACCCCCACCCCCACCCCCCACCUCGGGCUCAGCUGAAGCCGGCGGGUGGACCUGGGCAGGUGGGCGGCUGUGGAAGCACAGAGCCAGCUCACGGGAGGUCCCAGGCAGAUGUCAGUGUGAGAAGCUAAUCCUCGCUAAUGGGUUAAUUGCUCCACCUCUCAGAUGUCACAAGGGCCCUUCAGCAGCUUCCGGCAGAUUCUCCAAAGAUUCACUGGCUGGAAGCAGUGACCCUAAAUCAGAAAAGCAACUCCUGGGGGGCGCAGCUCCGGACACGACCCUGGGGAGGUAUGGGGGGGUGCUGGAGGCCCAGAGUCUUCCCUUUUCUGGAUUCCAUGUCACGUGCAGGAGCCGGAGAGACUUGAAGCAUUCUCUCUCUUCCUUCCUUGGACACACCUACUCGGAGGUUGUGAUGGCGGCUGCCGGCGUGGAGCCAGCCCGACUGCCUGGAGUGAGGACUCCUUCUCCCCCACACCUGCUGAGCACCAGCCCUCUGAUCCUUCUCUUCAGGGGACCCCAGACUUCAUCUUUGCAGUAAUUGCAUACCAGGGGUAGCCAAGUCAGAAAGAUCCAGGUCCUCACUGCAGAGGCCUGCCAGACACCGCUUUGGCAGAAUGAAAAAUAAAACCCAAGGCCUAGACUGAUCUUCCAGAAUCUUCUGGUCCAUUCCCAGCCUCCAAGCACUGGAUGUUGGAUUGGCGGGGUAGAGGGAUCAGACAGUUUCCUCCUCCUCCCUUCCUGUGACACCAGCUUCUUGUUCUUCCCUCCAGAAAGGUGGCAAAAGUUAGUUACAUGUAUUCUUCAGCUGAUGCUAGGAAUAAACACCGCCCAAUUCCUGGUGGCUGACGCCAACAUACAGUGAUUUCUUACACUAUCGCACCGUGGGUCCGCCCGAGAUCCAGCCUAGGCUGUUGCUUCUCCAGGACUCAGGGUUCGGCAGCACCACUGAACCAUAGCCGAGGAAGUAGGGCAGACCCGCGCCAGCUCUCGAAGCCUCUGCCUCCCAGCCCCACUGUUGCUUCAGGUCACCAGCUAACGCAAGUUAUGGAAAGUGACAGUCGCUCAGUCCUGUCCGACUCUCUGUGACCCCACGGACUAUACAGUCCCUGGAACUCUCCAGGCCAGAAUACUGGAGUGGGUAGCCGUUCCCUUCUCCAGGGGAUCUUCCCAACCCAGGUAUCGAACCCAGGUCUCCUGUGCUGCAGGCAGAUUCUUUACCAGCUGAGCCACAAGGGAAGCCCACGGUCAGGCCCAGUUUUCAAAGAGAGUAGGGAAGUGUGAUCUUUUCUUGUGGCGGGAACUUUGGCAAAUGGCCUUGGUGAUUCUUCUGCCCGCUAGCCGAUCCUGUCCCUCAGAGGGGCCCGAAUUCCCACCAUCCACUUGGAUGCUGGCUCUUGAGUCCAGCGUGGGCUGCUCUUACCCUUUCCUCCCUACCGCCUGUGUGCCCAGGACACGGCCCUCGUCUCUCGAAUUUCUGCUCCACGGUGCACGUCUUGUCUUUUCUCUUCCCGUCUCGGUGUGCCACCCCUUCCUCUGAGAGGCCCUCCUCCCACUUCCUGCUUGGAGAAUCCCGAGGACAGAGGAGGCUGGCUACAGGCUACAGUUCACAGGGUCUCAAAGAGUCGGACACCUCCCGCCU
ensembl:lncRNA